CCAUUUUGACUCGUCUCUUCUUCAGCGGCAGCCGCGGCCCCUGUUGCCAGAGAGCGGCGGGGAGCGAGGGACGGCGUCGGCAUCGGCGUCGCUGGGGGGGUUUCUUCUCUGGAUCCCGAGGCUGUGGAAGCAGCCGCCCGUUAAGAAGCAUCAUGAUUUCGGCCUCGCAGUUGUUGGAUGAGUUAAUGGGCCGGGACAGGAACUUGGCCCCUGACGAGAAGCGCAGCAACGUGCGGUGGGACCAUGAGAGCGUUUGUAAAUAUUACCUCUGUGGUUUUUGUCCUGCUGAAUUGUUUACAAAUACUCGUUCAGACUUAGGUCCAUGUGAAAAAAUUCAUGAUGAAAACCUUCGGAAACAGUAUGAGAAGAGCUCUCGUUUUAUGAAAGUUGGUUAUGAAAGAGAUUUCCUGCGAUAUUUACAGAGCUUACUUGCAGAAGUAGAGCGCAGAAUUCGACGAGGCCAUGCUCGUUUGGCACUAUCUCAAAACCAGCAGUCAUCUGGGGCAGCUGGACCUACUGGCAAAAAUGAAGAGAAGAUUCAAGUUCUAACUGACAAAAUUGAUGUACUUCUGCAACAGAUUGAAGAAUUGGGUUCCGAAGGAAAGGUAGAAGAGGCCCAAGGAAUGAUGAAACUUGUUGAACAGUUAAAAGAAGAGAGAGAAUUGCUUAGAUCCACAACGUCAACUAUUGAGAGUUUCGCAGCUCAAGAAAAACAGAUGGAAGUUUGUGAAGUAUGUGGAGCCUUUUUAAUAGUGGGAGAUGCUCAGUCCCGAGUAGAUGAUCACUUGAUGGGAAAACAACACAUGGGCUAUGCCAAAAUUAAAGCCACUGUAGAAGAAUUAAAAGAAAAGUUAAGAAAAAGGACUGAAGAACCCGAACGUGAUGAUCGUUUAAAAAAAGAAAAGCAAGAACGAGAAGAGAGAGAAAAGGAAAGGGAACGAGAAAGGGAAGAGAGAGAGAGAAAGAGACGAAGAGAAGAGGAAGAAAGGGAAAAGGAGAGGGUUCGUGACAGAGAAAGACGCAAGAGGAGUCGUUCACGAAGUAGGCACUCAAGCCGGACCUCUGACAGAAGAUGCAGUAGGUCCCGGGACCACAAAAGAUCAAGAAGUAGAGAAAGAAGGCGGAGCAGGAGUAGAGAUCGACGGAGAAGCAGAAGCCAUGAGAGAUCAGAAAGAAAACAUAGAUCUCGGAGUCGAGACCGAAGAAGAUCAAAAAGUCGAGAUCGGAAAUCAUAUAAGCAUAGAAGCAAAAGUCGGGACAGAGAGCAAGAUAGGAAAUCUAAGGAAAAAGACAAGAGGGGAUCUGAUGAUAAAAAAAGUAGUGUGAAGUCCAGUAGUCGAGAAAAACAGAGUGAAGACCCAAAUACUGAAUCGAAGGAAAGUGAUGCUAAGAAUGAGGUCAAUGGGACCAGUGAAGACAUUAAAUCUGAAGUGCAGCGUAAGUAUGCACAGAUGAAGAUGGAACUAAGCCGAGUAAGAAGACAUACAAAAGCAUCUUCUGAAGGAAAAGACAGUGUAGUCCUGCAAAACAUUUUGAGGUACAUUGUUUUGUCUCAGCUAUUUUGUAGCAGACUCGUGCCCCCAUUAAGUGUGCCUCUUUGGAACUAUUGCCCACAUUUGUAAUUUAGUCGCCAUAGAACAUUUAAUUAUCCUUUUUUUAAGGGAUUUUGCUGUCAUUUCUUUUUUAAAACAAUUUGAACUGUUUUUAUUUUUAUUUUUUUUGUUUUUUGGUAUUAAGUCCAUAUUGUGUUGGUACAUUGGCAGAGACAUUUGCUUUAAUAUUUAAAUAUUUCUGAGGCACAUGUUGGACUACUUUGUUUUAUUUAAACUGCUAGUAUUUCUUUGUCAAGGAUGUUUCUAGUUUUUUGCUUUAUUGCCUUGCAUUCUAAUGCAGUUUGUUCUGUAACUCGAGAGCCAGUAGCAUUGGAUUGAUGGAAGUGUAGGGUUUAUGAAUUAUUGCAGCUGACUACCAUACCUCACACAGCGUUGGUGUUGUGAGCGGCCCCUGAAAAGCCAAAUUAAAAAUCAAGGAUUCAGUCAAACUAAGCAGGUACUCAUGCCAGGUACUCCUUUCUCUACCCACAUCCAUGUUUGAAUGCUAUUGCCUGUGAUCUUUAAGCUGACUGUUGUGUAUUCUUUCGUUGUUUACAAGAAACACAGAGGGGUUUUUUUUGUGUAUUGUGUGUAAAUCUAAUGUUAACAGAAUGGAAUUUUUUUUCAACUAUAUGUAGGGAUGCAGUGAUGCCCAGAAUUAGAUAUCUUUAAAGAAUUUUAACAUACAAUAAACACUCAGUAAUCGCCUUGUUACAUUCAAUGCAAUUCAAGUCUUUGAGAGGUAUGUCUUUAAUAUUUCCUACUGUGUAGGAGAACUUGCAGUCAGCCAUAGGUAUGCAGAAUAGUUAUUGGCUGAUACUUAAAGCAAAAGCAAUUAGAGAGGGUAGACACCAGCAAUCUGCAAAAUACCUGUGGCAAGAUAUAUGAGAAGUUGGGUUUUUAAAGAACUUUUAAAAAUCAGGAUACAUGUAUGUUCUUAAAACCUAUAAUCUUUCCAUUCUUGGGCUGGUGAAGAUUUUUGUGGGAACAAAUAUUCCUAAUGAAAGGAAGUACCAAUUAAAAGAUAGUCCCAGGGCAGUUAGUUUUUUUCAAAUAAAACAGCAGUGCAGUUACAUGUGUCUAGAGACAUAUCUACACAAGCACACACACCUAUGCAUAAGUACAUGUAUUUUAAAGAUACACAUGCAUAACUGCAUUAUAGAUCUUUUUUGAACAUUUUCUACCUACAAAUGUUGAUUUUACUAAGCAAUUAGUGGCUGGGCCAGCACUUAGUAGUAAAAAGUGGAGCUUUUUAUAUGUUGUCUAAUUAUCAUUUUUCCCAAAAUUUUGCAUUGUAGGAUUAUGAUCUGAAGACUUUCAGAAGAAUUCUGAAGACAGCAUAAAGUGAAGACCGACUUUAAAAUGAGAAAUCACAUCUGUGACAGCAAUAACAGCACAAAUGGGAAACAAACAUCCUACCUGAUAGGCAUCUGCCUUAGCAGAGAUCCAGGGUUGUUCUCAGGAAAAGAUGGAUCUGAAAUCCACUGACGCCCAAUGUUAAACGUGAGGAGACAGGCGCUGGAGCUCCUGGAGCCUCUCUCCCAUCCCCAGGUGAACCAUACUCAUCACUACCAGGGGUGAGGCAUUUUCCCGUGAUGUCUGCUUGCCUUAUGGUUUUUCCCCUGGCAAGCCGCUCUGCCCAUGAGAGCUUCCAGCCUUCUAAUCAACUCCUCAUCCUCAGGGGACAGGGGCAUCUGAAGAUAAGGUUCCAGGUACUAUUUCUACUGUCGCUCAAACAGGACUUUUAGAAUGAUCAACUGCCUAGUAAUUCACAAAGUACAACCUGGAAUGAUGUCUCCUGGUCUGACUUUGGGCAAGACAUUUCACCUCUGUGGCCUUCAGAUUCCCCAUCUGUCAAAUGACUGGGUUGGACCAGGUGGCCCCUGAAGUACCUUCCGGCUCCAGAUCUCUGAUCUUGGCAACCUAUGACCCUGAUACAGAUUGCUGCAUGUCUCUCCAGCUGCUUGGCUACCCUCUUCAGUGAUCUUACAGUGGCCUUAUUAAAAGGAAAAACCCAACCCAACCCAAACCAAACCAAGCAAUGAAGGUCUGUUCUACUCCUAAGAUCAAGAAACUGCUACCUGUUUCUUUAUUCAUUACAUCCCAAUAUUAACCAAAUAUAAACAUCUGGAUUUAUUUGUUUGUUUUUUCAAAUAAUCCCAAUAUCAAAAUUGUAUUUAGCAAACCAAUAAUGUUAAACUAAGUACAUGAGGUGGGGUUAGGAGUUGGGGAAUGAACAUUUAUUAUGCACCAACUAAUGUUCCAGGCGCUGUGCUAGGCACUUUCCAGACAUUAUCAAAGUAUAACAUAUUAUUAUAAUGUAAUAUGAUGUUAUUACAUAGCACAUAGUUCUUAUAAUCAUAUCAUAAUAUAAUCAUGAUUAUAUUACAUAUAAUUAUCUGUAAUUCUGUUAUAUUAUGUUGUGUCAUGUCAUCUUAUGUUGCAGUACAUUACAUUAUAAUAAAUAUUCUUGAUUCUCACAACAACCCUAGAAAGUAGGUGAUGUCAUUAUCCCCAUUUUAUAGGCAGAUAGAGGUUAAGUGUUUUUCCCAGGGUCACACAGCUAGGGAGUGUCCGAGGCCAGAUUUGACUCCAGGCCCAGCACUCUAUCUACUGCCCCACGCAGCUGCCAAGAUCUUGCAGUGAUACGUUAGUAAAUCAAUAAUAACUUGUGAUAGAAAUAUAGCAAAUAAAACUGUAAGGCAGACAGGCAAUUGAUGGUGUGAACAUGGCCACUGUAACCACCUCCAUAUUCCAAUGGUUGCUGUCCUUCGUUCUCAAAGAUGGCCCAAAUGACAUCACUUAUGUUGGGGUCAAGGUAGGUGUGGCUGACUGUGGCUGACCUGACCAACAUGAGCUUGGAAGGCUCUACCACAGGUUGGGCACAAAUAGCUCAUACAAACAUAGUUCAUAUAGUUGGUAUGUGAAUAGGCCAGCAAUGGCCACCAAAUCAGCCACCCAGGCACCCGAGCAUUAUCUUAUCCCACGUAUAGCUGAAUGAAUCAUGCAGCAGUGUGAGCAGCAGCAGUAGCACUGAUGUGCAUCCUCACACUAUUCUUGUCCUCAUCACUGGGGUAUUGCUGUGGUCUCCUGGCCUCAUCUUCCUCCCCUUGCCAGUCUAUCCUCCAAUGAGCUGCCAAGAUGAUUCUCCUAAUACAUAGGUCAGACCAUGCUGCUUCCUUACUCAAUCAACUCCAGUAACUCCCAUUAACUGUCAGGCCCAAUAUAAAGUCCUCUGUUUGGCAUUUCAAGGUGUCAACGUGUAUUUAUUAAGCACCUACUAUAUUCCCGGUACCAUGCAAAGAAAAGCAAAAGACAAAUCCUUGUUUUUAAGAAACUGAAUCUAACAGGGGAGAUAACUUGGCCCUUUCCUGCCUUUUGACUCUUCUAAGCAUAUUCCUCCCCUUUGUGCCCUCUGUGAUGUAGCUACAGUGACCUGCUUAAUGUUCUGCAUACAUACUACCCUCUAUCUCCCACCUCUUUGUCUUUGCACUGGCUAUGCCCCAUGCCUGGUGUGCCUUUUCUCCUCACCUCCACUUCUUAGAAUUCCUGCUUUCUUUUAAAACUCAUCUCAAGAGCCACUUUCUACCUGUUGGCUUUCCUGAUUGGCCCAGCUGUUAGUGCAUUCCCUCCUCAAACUACAUUGGGUUUAUAUUACACAAGAGCAGCAGCAUGGACUAAUGGUAAAGUCGGCCUAAUUGCUUCCUAAAAGCAAGAAAGAUUUGCCUUCAAGUCCUACCCUCUGACACAGAGAGGCUCUGGCAUCCUGGGCAAGUCACUUCUUAGUGCCCUAAGAAGGGAUGUUGUGAGGUUCAAAUAAAUAGUGUAGAUAAAGCAUUUUGCAAAUCUUAAAGUACCAUGUGAAUAAUAAAUAUUAAUUAUAUUAGCAUAAUUGAUUAAUAUAUUUAAUAAUAAUCAUUAUUAUCAUUAGCCCAGUCACCAGGCCUCUUGUCUAGUAAGGCCUUCAUUCCUUGAACCUUCUAUUGCAGUCCUCCCCAGAUUAAGCAAUUUCAGAGUGUGCUGAUAAAUAUUUAACAACCAGAAUCUCCUAUGUACACACACACACACACACACA